GAAAAUAUUCUUGAUCUAGCACCUUCCUACUUAGGUGACCUAAUUAAACCCUACGUACCGGCCCAGGCUCUGUGUUCUCAGGGCGCAGGGCUACUUUGUGUCCCAAGGGUGAAUAAAAAGUCUGCGGGUCACAGACCUUUCUCUUAUCGUGCACCUGUUUGUGGAAUGAUCUCCCUGCAUCAAAAAAAUAGUCAGAUUCUGUAGAGACUUUCAAGUCCAUACUUAAGACACGCUUAUUUUUCCUUUCGUGUGGCUAGCAUACUGGCAUAGUAUAGUA